AAAGAAUUAGUUAAAUAAUAACAUAAAUAUGUCUAUUUUAAAUUAUUACUAUAAUGUAAUAUUCUUUU
rnacentral:tRNA from 1 species